rnacentral:rRNA from 1 species
UACGGGGGGGGCAAGCGUUGUUCGGAGUUACUGGGCGUAAAGGGCUCGUAGGUGGCCAACUAAGUCAGACGUGAAAUCCCUCGGCUUAACCGGGGAACUGCGUCUGAUACUGGAUGGCUUGAGUUUGGGAGAGGGACGCGGAAUUCCAGGUGUAGCGGUGAAAUGCGUAGAUAUCUGGAGGAACACCGGUGGCGAAGGCGGCGUCCUGGACCAAUACUGACACUCAGGUGCGACAGCGUGGGGAGCAAACAGG